rnacentral:rRNA from 1 species
UACGUAGGCAGCAAGCGUUGUUCGGAAUUACUGGGCGUAAAGAGUGUGUAGGCGGUGCUCUAAGUCUGUUGUGAAAUCUCCCGGCUUAACUGGGAGGGUGCGGCGGAGACUGGAGUGCUAGAGUGUGGGAGAGGUAAGCGGAAUUCCUGGUGUAGCGGUGAAAUGCGUAGAUAUCGGGAGGAACACCAGUGGCGAAGGCGGCGAUCUGGGAAGAUACUGACGCUGAGGUGCGAAAGCGUGGGGAGCAAACAGG